rnacentral:rRNA from 1 species
CGGACGGGUGAGUAAUGUCUGGGAAACUGCCCGAUGGAGGGGGAUAACUACUGGAAACGGUAGCUAAUACCGCAUAACGUCGCAAGACCAAAGAGGGGGACCUUCGGGCCUCUUGCCAUCGGAUGUGCCCAGAUGGGAUUAGCUAGUAGGUAAGGUAACGGCUUACCUAGGCGACGAUCCCUAGCUGGUCUGAGAGGAUGAUCAGCCACACUGGGACUGAGACACGGUCCAG